rnacentral:rRNA from 1 species
GAUGAACGCUAGCGACAGGCUUAACACAUGCAAGUCGAACGGAAGCAGAGAUUUCGGUUUCUGCUUUAGUGGCGAACGGGUGAGUAACGCGUGAGAAACCUGCCUCUCAGUGGGGGACAACAGUUGGAAACGACUGCUAAUACCGCAUAACACUUUAGUACCGCAUGGUACAGAAGUCAAAGCUUAAUGUGCUGAGAGAUGGUCUCGCGUCUGAUUAGCUAGAUGGUGGGGUAACGGCUCACCAUGGCGACGAUCAGUAGCCGGUCUGAGAGGAUGAACGGCCACAUUGGGACUGAGAUACGGCCCAG